rnacentral:rRNA from 1 species
AAGUCGUAACAAGGUUUCCGUAGGUGAACCUGCGGAAGGAUCAUUACAGUAUUAGUUUUUUUUCCUUACCAGCGCUUAAUUGCGCGGUGGAAAAUAAAAACUUACACCCCAUGAUUUUUCUUUUUAUGGAACUAUUGCUUUGGCUUGGUCGAAAGAUUGGGCCAGAGAUUUAAGUAAAACUUCAAUUUUUAAUUGAAUUGUUAAAUUAAAUUAUAAGUCAAUUUGUUUGAUUAAAUUCAAAAAAAUUUAAAACUUUCAACAGUGGAUCUCUUGGUUCUCGCAUCGAUGAAGAACGCAGCGAAAUGCGAUAAGUAAUAUGAAUUGCAGAUUUUCGUGAAUCAUCGAAUCUUUGAACGCACAUUGCGCUCUUUGGUAUUCCAGAGAGCAUGCCUGUUUGAGCGUCAUUUCUCUCUCAAACCCUUGGGUUUGGUGUUGAGUGAUACGCUGAGGAAACUGAGCGUUUGCUUGAAAAAGAUUGGCAUGAGUGUACUAGAUAGUGCUCCUUGAUUUAUUCAAUGUAUUAGGUUUAUCCAACUCGUUGAACGGAAUCUUGGCGGUAAAUUUCUGGUGUUAUUGGCUCGGCCUAAUAACUUUUUAUAAGUUUGACCUCAAAUCAGGUAAGAAUACCCGCUGAACUUAA